rnacentral:misc_RNA from 1 species
GAUGAAGAACGUAGCGAAAUGCGAUAAGUAGUGUGAAUUGCAGAAUUCAGUGAAUCAUCGAAUCUUUGAACGCACAUUGCGCCCUUUGGUAUUCCUUAGGGCAUGCCUGUUCGGGCGUCAUUUAAACCUUCAAGCUCAGCUUGGUGUUGGGUGACUGUCCGCUUCACCGCGGACUCGCCUCAAAAUUAUUGGCGGCCGGUACAUUGGCUUCGAGCGCAGCAGAAACGCGAACUCGGGCCCGUCGUAUUGGCUCCCAGAAGCUAUCUUCACAAUUUUGACCUCGGAUCAGGUAGGGAUACCCGCUGAACUUAAGCAUAUCAAUAAGCGGAGGA